rnacentral:rRNA from 1 species
AACGAACGCUGGCGGCAUGCCUAACACAUGCAAGUCGAACGAGACCUUCGGGUCUAGUGGCGCACGGGUGCGUAACGCGUGGGAAUCUGCCCUUGGGUUCGGAAUAACAGUUGGAAACGACUGCUAAUACCGGAUGAUGACGUAAGUCCAAAGAUUUAUCGCCCAGGGAUGAGCCCGCGUAGGAUUAGCUAGUUGGUGGGGUAAAGGCCUACCAAGGCGACGGUCCUUAGCUGGUCUGAGAGGAUGAUCAGCCACACUGGGACUGGGACACGGCCCAGACUCCUACGGGAGGCAGCAGUGGGGAAUAUUGGACAAUGGGCGAAAGCCUGAUCCAGCAAUGCCGCGUGAGUGAUGAAGGCCUUAGAGUUGUAAAGCUCUUUUACCCGGGAUGAUAAUGACAGUACCGGGAGAAUAAGCCCCGGCUAACUCCGUG